UUAUGGCCAUAUCACAUUGAAACACCGGGUAUACGCUCAUCAAAAUUAAGCAACUUUGAGCCUGGUCAGUACUUAAAUGGGUAACUGCUUGGGAAUACCAGGUGCUGUAA